CAGUAGCCACGGGAAUACGUAGGUGGCAAGCGUUGUCCGGAAUUAUUGGGCGUAAAGGGCUCGCAGGCGGUUUCUUAAGUCUGAUGUGAAAGCCCCCGGCUCAACCGGGGAGGGUUAUUGGAAACUGGGAAACUUGAGUGCAGAAGAGGAGAGUGGAAUUCCACGUGUAGCGGUGAAAUGCGUAGAGAUGUGGAGGAACACCAGUGGCGAAGGCGACUCUCUGGUCUGUAACUGACGCUGAGGAGCGAAAGCGUGGGGAGCGAACAGGAUUAGAUACCCCAGUAGUCCCUGUCUCUUAUAC
rnacentral:rRNA from 1 species